AAUUAUAAGAAAAUGUUGUCAGCUAAAUGAACUAGUGUGGCCCAAAGCCAUUGGUAUAGUCACAUCAGGACAAUUAAAAGUAUGCUAUCCUAAAAGCAUGCUAUCCUUUUCUUCUGAAAGGGUACAUUUUCUUCACUUCAUGCUUCUUUAGACCCGUCUAAAAUAAAUAAUGGAUUUAUUGUUAAGGUGUAGGAUAUAUUACAUGGAUUUAUUUAUUCGACUUUUUAAAAUGGCUUGUUGGCUAUGUGUGGGAGCCAGGAGAUGCUAAAUGUGUUUGUUAUUUAACGGUCAAUUACUGUGAGACUGAAAGUCUUUUGCUUGACAAUCACCGGAUGAUGAAUUUGUGACCGCCACAGCCCUAGUUGAGACCCCGACUGAGUUCACUUGUUUUAUCUCCAGAUACAAAGUGAAAGUAAACUAUACUGUCAACUGAAAAAGGGGAAGGGCUCAACUAUUUAAUAGGUAGAGGCAGCACACGACACUCAACUCAGAAGAAGCUAUAGACAGACAAACUUACAUUUACAAGAUGGGAGCAAUCUACAGUUAUUUCUACCCAGAGGUAAGUAAGUAACUUACAUUUCACUAUUCUUACCUUGUUUAUUCUGCUCUUAGAUCAUUUCUGGAGGCAACUAGGCUGUAGGAUUGAAUCUGGAAAUGCAUAAAGAUUUACAUUGAAAUUAAUGAUUUGUUGCUUUUCAUAAAGAGAUACAUGAGGAAAUAUGACUAACUUGUCACCAAUUAGUGAAGUAACUAUUGUCUGUUUUGUCACAGUAUUCAGAGGAAACCACAGUUGUCCCUCAAAGUGAGACCACUCAGGACACAUUGGUUACGGACAGGUGAGCCUAGUCUCCCUCACUCUCUUUCUAGUCAAUCAAAUGACUCUACAGUACAUACUGUUACCUAGCCUAAAUCCCAAAGUAUAAGCGUCCUUCUCUGUUUGUCUAGCUUUGAUUGUCACAAAAAUUAAACUUCCCUUAUCUCCACCCAGGUCACCAGGGCAACAAUGUGAUAAGGCAAAGACAGGUGAUUUCGAUGUUGAACCUCAAUCCGAGAGUUCAGACAGAGAGGCGGGACAAUCCAAUGAAAACACAAAGUGUACAACACAGGUUACAAACAGGUCACCAGGGCAACGAGGUGAUAAGACUAACACAGGGAAUAUCCUGGCGGGAUCCCCAAGUGCCUUUGGUGCUGACGAUAACAUUGAGGAUGUGGACAAGUUAAACGUCUAUGUGAAAUGUGCAGGAAAGACCCUGGAUAUAGAGGUGUUCCCUCUGGAGAAAAUCGCAGUUCUGCUGGAAAAUGGAUGUCAAAAGGCAGGGAAGAACCCCUUAACAAUGCGCUUGUUUACAAUGGGGAAAUUCUGAAUAAGAGCAAAACAGUGAAACACUACAAAAUACGAAGAGGAAGCUCAGUACACCUUAUUCGUCGUGCCUGUGAAGAAUAAGUCAACGUGUUACUUAUUGUUACUGUAUAUGCUAUCAUGGCUGAAGAAAGCAGAAUAUAUAACAUUCAUAUUUAUCUUUAUGAUAACACUAAAUGAGAUAAGAUACACGACUCCAUCAUUAUUUUAUUGCGGCAUCACUGACCAACCAGUAUAUAAGCGUCUACUUGAUCAUAACCAAUGAUGUAUAAUAGUGGGUCCCAACCAGGGGUAAACUGGUUUUGCAUUAAACAACAUUUUCAGCCAACUCCUUGUCUGAAGGACAAAUAGAUAAACAGGUUAAUGUCAAGCCCUGCAUGGAACGUAGGCCUACAUUGAACACCACACAUUGGCUGCUACGGUAGGCUGAAAGAUAGAACAGCUAUUUUCCAUGUUAAAAUGUUAUGGGAUGCAUUUUCUCCAUUGUUUUUGAUGGUAGGUCACUCCGGUAGGCCUACAUUAUGGUCAAAUAGCCACUGUUAAAACCAACGUAAAGUAGGUACAGCCUUAGUGUUCACAGUAAAUGCACGCCGGAAGUUGCACAGAACUUUCACAGCAUUCAAGUUUGCGCUCAGCAGACCUGAAAAUUGCUCAGUACUGAAAAAAACCAUUACACACUACACACCAUUACCACAGAGUUGUAACAAACACACAAAUAACUUUUCAUGUAAUAUGUUGUGCCAUUCUAUGCAUGUCAAUUUGCUUUUAAAAAUAAAACGGGUAUAUAUGCUGACUUGGGAAAAUUGUUAGGUGCUUAUUCUACAAGAUUAUCAUUAGUCUAACUCGUAUAAAGCUGGAAGGUAAAUAAAUGCAAAAAAAUCAUUAGGAUUAUAACCGCAAACUAGGCUAAAGUCAAAUGUUGGGCUUAUGGGCCUACAAUGGUUCCCUAGCUGUAGGCCUAGACCAGACUUCCAAUGUCCACUAAAACCUGUGCAGCGAAACUGUGAAACUUACUUCAUAAUUAAUCAGCUAAAAUCUAUGACCUAGGGCAAAUUAUAUUUCUUACCUCACAAUCUACUAUGGGGAUAGUAGAUUGACAUAGGCUAGUGCUUUUGCUGUUCGUUAGGCCUACUCAUCUUGUUGGCUGAUGAAAAGUAAUUUUGGACAGUUCUUCCAAUAUCUUCAAUAUGCACCUCGGAAUUGGAUAAGGACAAGCGUUGUUGCGUCCCUGAUGUGUCUGACUUGUGGCUUGUGGAAAGACCCGAUCAUGUUACAGAGAGCCAUGUGAGUGAGAGGCGCUUUGGAUUGCGCAGCACAAUCAGGAAGAAGGGCACAACACAGCAUUCUGGGGCCGCAAAAGGCAAGGAUCUUUUUAUGGUGCA
rnacentral:lncRNA from 8 species